CCUACGGGUGGCAGCAGUGGGGGAUAUUGCACAAUGGGGGGAACCCUGAUGCAGCGACGCCGCGUGGGUGAAGGAGCGUUUCGGCGCGUAACGCCCUAUCGGCAGGGAAGAAGGAGGACGGUACCUGACUAAGAAGCCCCGGCUAACUACGUGCCAGCAGCCGCGGUAAUACGGAGGGGGCAAGCUUGAUCCGGAUUUACCGGGUGUAAAGGGGGCGCAGACGGCAGGCCAAGCCAGGGGUGAAAGGCCGGGGCCCAACCCCCGGAAUGCGCGUGGGACUGGGGGGUCUGAGUUGAGGUGGGGCAGGGGGGAUUCCUGGUGUAGCGGUGAGAUGCGUAGAUAUCAGGAGGAACACCGGUGGCGAAGGCGGCCUGCUGGACUGCGACUGACAUUGAGGCCCGAAAGCGUGGGGAGCAAACAGGAUUAGAUACCCGUGUAGUC
rnacentral:rRNA from 1 species